rnacentral:misc_RNA from 1 species
GAUGAAGAACGUAGCGAAAUGCGAUAAGUAAUGUGAAUUGCAGAAUUCAGUGAAUCAUCGAAUCUUUGAACGCACAUUGCGCCCGCCAGUAUUCUGGCGGGCAUGCCUGUUCGAGCGUCAUUUCAACCAUCAAGCCCCCGGCUUGUGUUGGGGACCUGCGGCUGCCGCAGGCCCUGAAAACCAGUGGCGGGCUCGCUAGUCACUCCGAGCGUAGUAAUACAUCUCGCUCAGGGCGUGCUGCGGGUUCCGGCCGUUAAAAAGCCUUAUUUACCCAAGGUUGACCUCGGAUCAGGUAGGAAGACCCGCUGAACUUAAGCAUAUCAAUAAGCGGAGGU